UACGUAGGGUGCAAGCGUUAAUCGGAAUUACUGGGCGUAAAGCGUGCGCAGGCGGUUGUGUAAGUCAGAUGUGAAAUCCCCGGGCUCAACCUGGGAAUGGCAUUUGAGACUGCACAGCUAGAGUGUGUCAGAGGGGGGUAGAAUUCCACGUGUGAGCAGUGAAAUGCGUAGAGAUGUGGAGGAAUACCGAUGGCGAAGGCAGCCCCCUGGGAUAACACUGACGCCUCAUGCACGAAAGCGUGGGGAGCAAACAGG
rnacentral:rRNA from 1 species